rnacentral:rRNA from 1 species
AUGAGAUUUCUUUCUACGGAUAUGAAGGAUAGAAGAGUGACUUUGUUUUUCACCAAAAUCUAUAUUUGGGUGUGCUUUAUUUUUCCAUUCCAAAUCCAAAAAUUGAUAUUCUUGCUAUGGUUCUCCUUAAUAACGCUAAGAUUGUUGCUUAUUCUCUGGAACUUGUUCGAUCCUUUAUUUGUGACGGAAGCACUCAUCUUCGCUUCCUUCUAUAGCGAAGCUAGUGUUACUAUGUUAGGUGGUAUGAAUAUGAUGGGCGAUGACGACCUGUCCCGCGCCGUAGCCCCGUAUCUCCCGCAGGGAGGUCAGGCUCCAGUAAAUAUUCCCGAAGGACGACCGCUUACAGUGGAAGAGGAAGGCCGUCUUGCCCUGGUGUUGGAUUUGCAAAAUUAG